rnacentral:tRNA from 1 species
CCCUUGGUGGUAUAGUGGUGUGCCUAGCUGCCUUCCAGGCAGUUGACCUGGGUUUGAAUCCUGGCCAAUGUA